rnacentral:rRNA from 1 species
AGCAGCCGCGGUAAUUCCAGCUCCAAUAGCGUAUAUUAAAGUUGUUGCAGUUAAAAAGCUCGUAGUUGAAUUUCGGGGUUUGUCAGUUAGUUGGUCGGGCUUUACUGUCCGUACUGACUUGAUGAAUUCUUACCUUCUGAAUAACCAAACUCAAUCACUGAGUUGGGGAAACAGAUCUAUUACCUUGAAAAAAUUAGAGUGCUUAAAGCAGGCUAGUGCUUGAAUAGAUUAGCAUGGAAUAAUAAAAUAGGACGGCAUGGUUCUAUUUUGUUGGUUUCUAGGGUCACCGUAAUGAUUAAUAGGGAUAGUUGGGGGCAUUAGUAUUCAAUUGUCAGAGGUGAAAUUCUUGGAUUUAUUGAAGACUAACUUCUGCGAAAGCAUUUGUCAAGGAUGUUUUCAUUAAUCAAGAACGAAAGUUAGGGGAUCGAAGACGAUCAGAUACCGUCGUAGUCUUAACCAUAAACUAUGCCGACUAGGAAUUGGACGAAGUUAAUUUUUUAAUGACUCGUUCAGCACCUUA